rnacentral:lncRNA from 1 species
AUCAAUAAAACUGUAAUGUCAUCCAAAAGGCUACUUAAAUUUUUCCUCAAGUGUCAUUCAAAUAAUUAGUGAAAGGGUGAAUUUGUAAUGGUCAUUUUAUAAUGAUAGUGCUUGCCGAGCAACGGCCUACAGGUACGCUAGCUAGCUUGAAGCCGCACACAUGCGGGAAAGAAUCUUUUACACUAGCAAUAGAACUCCGAGGGGUUGGAGAGGGCAUAAUGUACACCUAUCCCUGUGUGUAAACGAUCUUCUGCUCUGAUGUGAAUAAAAUGUGCCACGAACUUAUACAUCUAUACGAUAGAUAGGUAGGUUAAUACACUGCACAAAAAAGACUAGGGUCUACGCGGAAAAAAAAAAAAACCAAAAGAAGGCAAACAGCUUAUUCCAGACAUGGACCAGCCUCUUUUUGGAACAAGAUAAAAAAUUUGGUCACAAAGCGUGGUUAGUCUUUUAAAAAAUAGACUACCCUUUUUAUUAUAUGUCUUUUAUUUACCGAUUUCUUAUUUUUCAGCGUCGUAGGCAUUAGGUUAACCAUCUACAGGGAGACAAUUCUGAGCAGACAAUCGUAUGUGCAGAUUCUGGGGGAAGUUAAGCAUGACAACAUGGAAUGGUCUGCUUGAAAUGUGCCUGAUUGUUGGCAGUUUUGUGGUGAUCACAGUCAUUGUCUCAAUCUGUUACUGCUGGUUUUACAAAGGGCAUCACACAUCUCACAGUAGAAAUGGCCAGCCUAGGGAUCUCUCUGCCACCACUUUUACUGAAGUGUUGCAAAGUACACCUGCUACCACACCACGAAGGCCACUUCAUUCAGAUGUACAGCCAGGAGCAGCUGUCAUCAUACCAGGGAGACCAGUUCAUAGAUCUGAGUAUCAUAUGCUUCCUUGCAUAAUUGACUGCAAAAGCUUACCACUACCAUCAUCUGUAGCUCCCACAGCGCCUGAUUUUCCUGGUGAUGAUGAUACCACAAUUGCCUCUACAUCUCUGGGGUUAUUAUCAUCCAUUCCACAGCCUCGAUUACCUGAGUCUGAAUUAUCUAUAGCUCGGCCACUAACAACAUCUUCUCUGCCUCCACCUGCAUAUUCUGAGUUAUUUCCUGGAAGAAAGUGAAUUUCAUGGCUAACAUAACCAUUGAGAAUCAUUUUACCACAUUUUGGAGACGAGUACUCUGAAAACUGUUAACAUAAACAUCUCAUCUGGCUCUCAUUUUUUCAUUCUUAUAAAUAGAUGUUGCAACUCAAGUUGCUCCAGCAUUAUGGCAUUCCUUUAACCCACUCCACUCAGGGUGUUUAUUAUAUAAUAUUGACUUCUUUUGCAUAAACAGGCAGUGGCCAAAGGUCAGAACAAGUAUGUUAAUUUGCUAGCCCCAGACAUCACAUAAAGGGGAUCUUGUCUUACUGCAGCUAUAUAUAGGCAUCUAUUAUACAGUAAAAAUUAGCAUUCAAGGAUCAUCUGGAAAAUGUUUUACUGGUUAGGCUAAAGUUUCAUGAGAUGUGGGUAUGUGCACUUUUUGACCUACCUGAAAGAUCACUUGAGUUAGACCUCUUAUGUUUUGUACCCUAGAUUUCACAUGUGCGGUAAUUCCAGAACACCUUUGAGAAGAUAAAUAUUCAUAUGAAAAAGACGUAAAAUGACAUACAUAGUAGAAAACUAAAGGUCACAAACUAGAAUUAUGACCUUUUCGUUCAGCGAAAGGGUUAGAGCUAUGACAAGUAAGGUAGGUGCAGAAAUAUAUUAAAAAGAAAGGAAACAGGAAAACACUUUGAUCAGUUAUGAAUGAAAAGAGUGCUUUCUGUGUUCUGUGUUCAGCCAGUUUAAAAGUUUUCACUUUGACAGAGUGCUUAAUUACAAGGUAGCUUGUGGAAUAUGCAUUAUUUAUAGCUCAAAACCUUAAGAAAGUGGUAUUAAAAUAAGCUUCAAGAUAAAACUGGGCAAGAGGCAGGAUUCAAAUUCAUUUCGGUAACCAUAAGGUAGAGAAGAAACCUUUGGAUACUGCCAGUAUUAAACAUGCUGCAUCCCUUUUCCAUGCCUUUGUAUGACCUUCUCCCUCUGUUUCCUACAGCAGGAAGGUCAAGGUGCCUGCAUUUCAGUACAUUCAAAAGAUGAUCCUUGAUCCUAUUGUGCCAUUUGACUUUAAAAAGCAGGGUUGAAAGCUUAUGUAACAAAUUGGAGCAUAAAUUUUUAAUGUAUGUGUCAGUAUGUCAUCAUUGGAUAUUUAUUGUUUUGGUUUAAUGUGUAAAUCUUGUCUGCAAAGGGUCAGUCCAGUCACAGAGUUCUUGAUCUGAAAUAUAAGGUAUAUAGGUUUGUUUCUUUUCAUUUUUGCUACUAUUUUUACCAUCUUAUUGUCACGUUGACUUUAAACUGUGACUUUAGAAAUUUGUAAAGGCUGUUCCAUUAUAAGAACACAGAAGGGUGUGUGCAAUGUUUCAUCUGUUUUAUCUUUUAUCCAUAUGCAUAUUACUGUAAAACUUCUUUAUGUGUGGCAUUGAAUAGAUGCUUAGUUUUUACGUUUUAACAGAAUCAGGAUUAAGUGAUUUUAAAACAUUUUCAUGAUUAACAUGGACUAUUAACUGCAAGAGUGUUAUUGGUCUAAUGCUUUAAAAAUAGCUUUGUGAACCUCAGAUGUAAAAAAAUAUUGCAGAAAACAAGAUACCAUUCUAGCUCUUUGUAUGGAUGCAUUUUAAACAAGUCACUGUCACUAAAUAUUUUCUGAGGUUACGCUCUAUAUGUUUACAUUCAGAAAGAAUCAUUUAUUUUGUUUUGUUUUUUUUAUGUCCAGAAAUCUGUAAGGUUGUUCUAUAAAUGACUCGCUGUCAGUAUUUACAAUUAUGUGCAAUACAGCAAUCUUUUCAGCAGUAAGAAUAUUGAAAAAUAUUUUUAUACAUUCGAUAAUGUGACAUAAUAUUCAAUGACUCCAUCAGUAUUCUUAGCAUCAUUGUUUCAUUCAGCUGUUUUCCUUGCCCGGGAAUGAAAUACGCGUGCCUAAUCUCUGUAUAUAUAGAUUCUGCUUUUGUCUGUAUGUGCGUGUGUGUGCUUGCAUGCAUAUGGAUUAAGUCUACGUCUUUAACUUUCAUAUUAUUGUAUUUGUUAUAAACAAAUGAUAUAACUUUCAUGAAAGGCACAAACAGUGAACUAUAAUUAUUUUUGAAACAACCUUGCAAUAAUGCUAACAAACAUCUCAGGUGUGAUCUUAGCGUAUGUUUGCAUAAAACUGCUGCGAUAAGCCAAAGCAUCAAGAUCUGUAAGCUUAUAGAACCAUUCUGAUAUUUUAUCUAAUUUUUUGUAACUAAUGUAAAUGGUGCGGUCUUCUCAUAUCAUUUUACUCUUUAGUACAUGUAUUAUUUAAAUACAUCUUAAACCAUACUUUCUGUCAUUUCACGUUUUACCAAAUUAAUUUCCAAGCAAUUCAAUAUUAAGAACUGCAUUUUAUAGACAUAAGGUAUGGCGGCAUUGUGACUGAUAAAUGUGUUCUGAAGUUUAUCAAGUCUUAAGAUUCACAUUCCUUUUUUUUAAACAGUGUUUCCUUUAUGCUUAAUUAUUUAAUGGUUUAAUUGCUAAUAAAUUGGUGAAUGUAUGGAUGUGCUAUGUUCAUCUGGUGCUGCAUACAUAGCUGCUUGAAGCAUGUGCAUCAGCAUGAAAUAAUUGAAAGUUGUACCUAGAAAUCUUGCCAAGUGUUUACGGAUAGUGUCCAAGUUGUCAAAAUUAAGUGGAAUCUCUAAGAAGGCCAAAACUUGUAUUCUCUGCUUGGUGGAUAAAAACGUUUUAUAAAUGUAUAUUAUUCUUAUUGGAUGUGAUAUUCAGUGUCUGUAAUAAGAUUUAUUUAAUAAUACAUUUUAUGGUUAAAUGAUAAUUUUUUAUAUUGCAUUAAUAUAUACAUUUGUCAAAGUACAUGUUGUGUAUUUUGGAUUACAGUCUGCUGGAUUUAAAUAAAUGCAUUAAAAAAAUCAAGGACCUG